UUGAAAGGGAAACGAUUGAAGUCAGUCGUACCGACGAGAAAUCAACUCAUCGAAUGGGUAAUUGCGGGCGUAUGAGAGCUUCACGGUCUCAUUGUUUGCGAAUGCAUGUUCUUUGGGUGUACUUUUUCGUAUGGUAGGUCAACGUCGGUUUCGAUUACUAUAAAAUGAUCGGAGGAAUGUAGCUUCGAUCUUGUAUUGAAGUGUUAUAGCCUUCGGUAGAUGUGACGAUCGGGAUUGAGGAUUGCAACGGAUACCCUUCGGGGCUACCUGUCUGAUCUCUGAUUGUUGCUCUGGUACCGAAAGCUUGCUUACGGUUAUCAAAGUCGAUGGUCAAUAGGUUAGAACGGGUUAAAUUCGUUAAGGAUGUUGACGUA
rnacentral:rRNA from 1 species